GCUUGCUCUGGUGACGAGCGGCGGACGGGUGAGUAAUGUCUGGGAAACUGCCUGAUGGAGGGGGAUAACUACUGGAAACGGUAGCUAAUACCGCAUAAGUCGCAAGACCAAAGAGGGGGACCUUCGGGCCUCUUGCCAUCAGAUGUGCCCAGAUGGGAUUAGCUAGUAGGUGGGGUAACGGCUCACCUAGGCGACGAUCCCUAGCUGGUCUGAGAGGAUGACCAGCCACACUGGAACUGAGACACGGUCCAGACUCUACGGGAGGCAGCAGUGGGGAAUAUUGCACAAUGGGCGCAAGCCUGAUGCAGCCAUGCCGCGUGUAUGAAGAAGGCCUUCGGGUUGUAAAGUACUUUCAGCGGGGAGGAAGGUGUUGAGGUUAAUAACCUCAGCAAUUGACGUUACCCGCAGAAGAAGCACCGGCUAACUCCGUGCCAGCAGCCGCGGUAAUACGGAGGGUGCAAGCGUUAAUCGGAAUUACUGGGCGUAAAGCGCACGCAGGCGGUCUGUCAAGUCGGAUGUGAAAUCCCCGGGCUCAACCUGGGAAC
rnacentral:rRNA from 1 species